rnacentral:rRNA from 1 species
CAGCCAUGCCGCGUGUGUGAAGAAGGCCUUCGGGUUGUAAAGCACUUUCAGUCGUGAGGAAGGUAGUGUAGUUAAUAGCUGCAUUAUUUGACGUUAGCGACAGAAGAAGCACCGGCUAACUCCGUGCCAGCAGCCGCGGUAAUACGGAGGGUGCGAGCGUUAAUCGGAAUUACUGGGCGUAAAGCGCAUGCAGGUGGUUUGUUAAGUCAGAUGUGAAAGCCCGGGGCUCAACCUCGGAAUAGCAUUUGAAACUGGCAGACUAGAGUACUGUAGAGGGGGGUAGAAUUUCAGGUGUAGCGGUGAAAUGCGUAGAGAUCUGAAGGAAUACCGGUGGCGAAGGCGGCCCCCUGGACAGAUACUGACACUCAGAUGCGAAAGCGUGGGGAGCAAACAGGAUUAGAUACCCUGGUAGUCCACGCCGUAAACGAUGUCUACUUGGAGGUUGUGGCCUUGAGCCGUGGCUUUCGGAGCUAACGCGUUAAGUAGACCGCCUGG